CCUACGAGCGGCAGCAGUGAGGAAUAUUGGUCAAUGGACGAGAGUCUGAACCAGCCAAGUAGCGUGAAGGAUGACUGCCCAGUGGAUUGUAAACUUCUUUUAUCAAGGACUAAAAAGAGGCACGCGUCCCUUUUUGCGUGUACUUUAUGAAUAAGGAUCGGCUAACUCCGUGCCAGCAGCCGCGGUAAUACGGAGGAUCCUCGCGUUAUCCGGAUUUAUUGUGUUUAAAGGGAGCGUAGAUGGGUUGUUAAGUCCGUUGUGAAAGUUUGUGGCUCAACCCUAGAAUUGCAGUUGAUACUGGCAGUCUGGAGUAGAGGUGAGGUAGGCGGAAUGCGUGGUGUAGCGGUGAAAUGCUUAGAU
rnacentral:rRNA from 1 species